GAGGGUAUAGCUCAGUGGUAGGGCACUUGCUUAGCAUGCACGAGGUCCUGGGUUCAAUCCCCAGUACUACCA
rnacentral:tRNA from 1 species